AGCGUAGCCGGCAAGGCAAGUCUGAUGUGAAAACCCAGGGCUUAACCCUGGGACUGCAUUGGAAACUGUCUGGCUCGAGUGCCGGAGAGGUAAGUGGAAUUCCUAGUGUAGCGGUGAAAUGCGUAGAUAUUAGGAAGAACACCAGUGGCGAAGGCGGCUUACUGGACGGUAACUGACGUUGAGGCUCGAAAGCGUGGGGAGCAAACA
rnacentral:rRNA from 1 species